AUUUGAUGACGUGGACAUUUUAUUUGUAACUCCCCAAAUCUUUCCCAAGCUUCAAAAAUUUUUCCGUAUGUUUUUGUCUAAAAGUUUGGAUUUUGUUUCUUAAUUU
rnacentral:snoRNA from 1 species